CUCGACCGCUCCUUAAUCAGGGUAGUUCCGUUACCUCCUGUCCCUCGCAAUCGUCAUCGUCCCUGACCAAGAACGACCCAAGAGAGCGGGAGCCGGAAGCGAUCCCAGGGUCA